rnacentral:lncRNA from 1 species
GGCAGCGCCCAGCGAUGGAUGCGGCCACCACUGCAGGGCCUGCCGCCGGUGUGGAGAGCCCGAGUCACGGAGCCCCAUGCUGCCCCUCACAGCACGGACGGGGUCAGCAAGGCAGUGGCCGGCGGAGUGAGAGACGGCUCAGGGCACCAGCUGCCCACUGAGUCACUGUGAGAAGGAAAGAAAAAAAUUUUUUUGAAAACAUGAACAAGUGCAAGGAGGAGAUGGAUCAACCCGAGCUGGUCAAAUGCUAGUAAACGCUGAGCCCGGGGACCCAGGACACUGUUCUCUCAGAUUUUGUGACUGAAGAUAUUCCCCACGCAAAGUUAAACAAAUGUUGAGAGUCAGAAAGUCACCCUGUGGCAGGGACUCACUGAAAGUUACUUCCUACAGCU